rnacentral:rRNA from 1 species
GUCCACGCCCUAAACGAUGUCGACUAGCCGCUGGAGGAAUAAAAUCCUUCAGUGGCGCAGCUAACGCGAUAAGUCGACCGCCUGGGGAGUACGGCCGCAAGGUUAAACUCAAAGGAAUUGACGGGGCCCGCACAAGCGGUGGAGCAUGUGGUUUAAUUCGAUGCAACGCGAAGAACCUUACCUGGCCUUGACAUCCCGGGAACUUUCCAGAGAUGGAUUGGUGCCUUCGGGAACCCGGAGACAGGUGCUGCAUGGCUGUCGU